rnacentral:lncRNA from 1 species
CCACAGCAGACCGGGGGCCCACCUGCGUACCGGGAGAGUGGGGUGGAGCCACCGGGAAUUCACGCCUGAUGCCCGGGGAGGAGUCUGGCCUCUUCAGCUCCUGUGUGGUGGCCUGAUAUUCAGUCUGUGAGCUGGGAGCCUGUUGGCAGGUCCCUCUUUUUAUUUUCGCUGAGAGCUUUCUUUUACUAAAUGCCACCAUCCUUACCUUUCAAGGUGUCUGCGUGCCUAAUUUUUCCUGGUUGUUAGACAAGAACCCGGAUUUUAGUUGAACUCUGGAGCAAAAAUCCUGCAUCAUUUGUAGUUCUUUUACAGGAAGCUUUUGUUACGUGUUGUCAGCACAUUGCUGUGAUGCUCAAGUAUAGCUCUUUAAUGUGAAAACCUGGUAUUUGGGCAUGGCUUGAAGCAGCUCACACUGUCACCUGGGCUGGAGUGCAGUGGCGCAAUCUCGGCUCACUGCAACCUCUGCCUCCUGGGUUCAAGCAAUUCUCCUGCCUCAGCCUCCCAAGUAGCUGGGAUUACAGGCACCCGCCACUACACCCAGCUAAUUUGUUGUAUUUUUAGUAGAGAUGGGGUUUCACUAUGUUGGCCAGGCUGGUCUCAACUCCUGAUCUCAGGUGAUCCCCCCCACCUCAGCCUCCCAAAGUGCUAGGAUUACAGGUGUGAGCCACUGCGCCCAGCCCAAAAUAUCUUAAGUAGAUGGGGUUGUGCCAUAUUGGCCAGUCUGGUCUUGAACUCCUGACCUUGUGAUCCACCUGCCUCGGCCUCCCAAAGUGCUGGGAUUACAGGCAUGAGCCACUGUGCCUGGCCAUAUAAUUUUUAAAAGAAGAUUCAUUAAACAAAGGAUCCACAAUAUAAUAAAAAAUUCCAAACUAUCAAAAGCCAAAUGAUUAAUUCUUGACACUUAGGAAAUAAAUGGAUUGAUUAUUUUGUUCCGAAUUUCAGAACAACCAAUAAAAUAAGAGAAAUAAGAUACAGAAUUUGCAAAUCAUUAGAAAGAAGUAACAAAGUUAUAAACAGGGAAGUAUUUUUAAAUGACACUUGAAAACCCAAACAAAAGAAGACAUAACACACGAUGGCAGCAAAAAGUUUAAACAUAUUAUGAUUACAAUUAUGAUUAGAUAAGUUCCCCUGUCAAAGACAAAGAACAGUAAUUAGUUGUUUAUAAGAACUACACUUAAAUCAAAUGACACACAAAGGUAAAAAUUGAACAAGGCAAUGAGAAGCAAAACAAUACCCAGAAAUAGAUUUCAGCAGAAGUGGGAGUCAUUCUUUCCAGUAUAGGUUUGAAUUCACAAUACCUGCAGGGCCUAAAAAAGCUCAAAUUAAAAUUUAAUGUAAAGUGGUCUCCAAUUAGUAGUUUCCCAAGAUGCCUUGCAGAAGAGGCAAUACAAAUUCAUUCUUUUUUUCUUUUCGCCACAAGGUGGGUGUCAUUGUGACUGGCUGCUACCUCCCCAUGAGUCUUCUAAAAUAAAACCUGCAAAUUCACAUCUUCCCCAUGCUUCCAGAGAAUGCAUAUUCUUCCUUUGAAAAAAGAAAACCAGCACAACAAAAAGAAAGGUAAGAAAUGCUAGGAGAAAGCUAAAAGCUCCAUACUAAAAUAAUGGUCCUAAUAUUAAGCAAAGUAAAAUGUGGUAUGAUUUUGAGUGGUCAGCAGAGUGUAAGAAUAAUCUAUUUGCACUUGAUACUUUCAGCUGUCACAGAGGUCAUAGAAUUGGGCUUAUUGAGAAGGAAAGGUAAAUGCUAGUACACUACUUGGCUCAGAAGUGAACAAAAUUGCAGUUUGCUCAAACAACUCCAUAGGAAAAAGUCUAAUAAUCUGAUGUAAAAAUGGGCAGAAGAUUUGAAUAGAUAUUUCUCAAAAGAAGACAUACGAAUGGCAAACAGACAUAUGAAAAUGUACUCAAAAUCAUUGAUCAUCAGAGAAAUGUAAAUCAAAACUGCAAUGAGAUAUCAUCCGACUCCAGUUAAAAUGGCUUUUAUCCAAAAGUCAGGCAAUAAAAAAUGCUGGUAAGGAUGUAGAGAAAAGGGAACCCUUGUACACUGUUAGUGGGAAUGUAAAUUAAUACAAUCACUAUGGAGAACAGUUUGGAGGAUCCUCAAAAAACUAAAAAUAGAGCUACCAUAUGAUUCAGCAAUCUCACUGCUAGGUAUAUACCCAAAAGUAUAUUGAAGAGACAUCUGCACUCCCAUGUUUGUUGCAGCACUGUUCAUAAUAGCCAAGAUUUGGAAGCCACCUAAGUGUCCAUCAACAGAUGAAUGGAGAAACUGUGGUACAUAUACACAACGGAGUGCUAUUCAGCCAUAAAAAAGAAUGAUACUCUGUCAUCUGCAACAACAUGAAUGGAACUGGAGAUCAUUAUGUUGUUAAAUAAGCCAGACACAGAAAGACAAACAUCACAUAUUUUCACUUAUUUUGGGGAUAUAAAAGUCAAAACAAACUCAUGGAGAUAGAGAACAGAUAGACGGUUACCAGAGGCUAGGAGGAGGAGUGGUGGGGGGCAGUUAGUGAUGGUUAAUUGGUACAAAAAAAUGGUUAGAAAUAAUAAAUAAGACCUAGUAUUAGAUAGGACAACAGGAGGACUAUAGUCAAAAAUAAUUUAUUUGUACAUUUCAAAGUAACUAAAAGAGUGUAAUUGUAUUAUUUGUAGCACAUAGGAUAAAUGCUUGAGGUGACGGAUACCCCAUUUACCCUGAUGUGAUUAUUACACAUCGUAUGCCUGUACCAAAAGAUCUCAUGUACCUCAUAAAUACAUACACCUACUAUAUACCCACACAAAUUAAAAAUUAAAAAAAUUUAAAGAAAUUACAGUUUGUUGGUUUUGAAUAUUUGACCAAAUUUUUUACUAAGCACAGAUAGAUUGAAUAUAAUUUUAUUGUCCUUUUGACAUUAUGAUAAUGAAGGUAUCUACACAGAAGUCUGAGAUGAGAAAAAAAUGAUAUAAUAUCCACCUACUACAUAGUGGGUAGUUUAUAUACUAAAGUUAUUGUUAUGAGAAAGAAUGGCUUAGGAAUAUUAUUUAAAAUUAAUUAAGGGGUGUUAAAAAUAAAAUACCAAGUGUAAAAAUGACAAAGGCAAGAAGAAACAGUAUAUAAUGUGAGUAAAUCUUAAUCUUUCCAAGAGAGGAGACAGUACAUAAUGUCUAAAAUUGUUAAACCAUGAAAUAGAAAUAUAGUUAUUUUAUUCAUAAUUAAGGAGAUAACUACUAUAGCACGAAAUCGUGCCAAAAAUGGUUGCCUCUGGGAAAUGUGAUUAUAGAUAUUAUAAUAUUUUGGACUGUAAAAAUCUGCUUUUAAGACUGAGGAAAUACAAAUAGGACAAUAUUUAUUUGAAAUUUGUAUCCUCAGGGAGUGUAAAGAAAUUAAUGUAUCCACAAAAUAAUAAUAGCUGCUAUUUGAAAACAUAGUUUUCUUGAAAGUUAAAAUAGUAAUAGUCUUCUAAAAAUUUUGUUAGUUUUGGUUUUCUCUUUAAUCUGAGUUAUGUAGAAAAGUGCUUAUUUCAAAUUAGGUAGGCUUGUUUUAUUCCUUUUUCUGUCUUUUUUCUAUCAACUAGUGUUUUAUUGUGUUCAGAAAAUGCCAUGCAUUAAAAGACUACUUUUGAGAAUUUCUAGAGAUUUUCUUUGUUACUAAAGAGAUUUUUGUAAUUGUUACAUGGGAUUUUAAAAAGAAUGUAAAUUAUCCUUUUUGUCAAGUAUAAUGAUUUCUGAAACCUAGCUGUGUCAGAAUACUGUAUAAUACUGUAAUAGUAUGUUGUUUUUGGCUAUGUGUACUUAUUUCUUAGAGUGGUAUGUUAAAGCCUCGACCUUGUGACUUUGUUUAUUUCUCUCUCUACAUCUAAACAUUUCCAAGACAUGUUAUUUGCAAUACCAAGACCAUAACUAUUAUGUAUUUAAUCAAAAUAAAAUAUUUCGGCUCUCUAUAAUUCACCUUGAACUUUAUUUUGUUAAAUAUAAAUGUUGUUGAUUAUACAACAUUUCAUUAUCAAUCCCUAGACACAUUUCUAAUCCACUAUAAUUGUUUUAAAAUAAAAGGAGAAGGGAAGGUUGUA